GAACGAGCGAAAGCGAGCGAAAGAGAGAGAGAGAGAGAAAGAGAGAGGGAGUAUGCGUGAGUGCAUGCGUGUAGAGAGGAAGACAGAAAUGGCGGAAAAGUAUACACACGGACACAAACCGUUCGAAUGGAUGUGAAUCCGAACAUUUUAAACGAUCGAUAGGAUUAUUAUUGUAUAAUAUAAGCGGGAGUAAAAAAAAAAAAAAAAAGAGAAAAAAAGAAAAAAAUGCGAAUACGAAAAAAAAAAGCAAAUUGGAACAGGGUGAGCUGUUCGUGGUAAAAGAUGAAACAAGGAUAGGAUAACGAUUACAGAUAAACUAUGUAACUGAAGUCUUUCCAUCUUCUUUUUUUUCCUUUCAUUGUGUCACGUAAAUACGUCUUUACACGCGACUCUUGUGUGCGAUGAAUCUUGGACGAUGAGUAGAGAAAGGGG